rnacentral:rRNA from 1 species
GCCUAAAAUCUAGCCCAUAAAAUUCUUAUGUACCCCUAAACUAACAAAUCUAUAAUAAAACAUUUUUAUAUUUUAGUACAGGAGAUCGAAAAAUUACUAAGCGCAUUAGAUAAAGUACCGCAAGGGAACGAUGAAAUAAAAAUGAAAUAACUUUAAAGCCUAAAGUAGCAGAGAUGCCCCCUCGUACCUUUUGCAUCAUGGUCUAGCUAGUCAAAUCAAGCAAAAAGAACUUUAGUUUGUUACCCCGAAACUAGACGAGCUACUUCAAAACAGUCCAAUAGGACCAACCCAUCUCUGUUGCAAAAGAGUGGGAAGAUUUUCAAGUAGAGGUGAAAUGCCUACCGAGUCUAGAGAUAGCUGGUUGUUCAGGAAAAGAGUUUUAGCUCUACCUUAAGUUUUUCUAUUAAACCAAAAAACACACUAAACUUAAGAGCUAUUCAAAUAAGGCACAACUUAUUUGAAACAGGAUACAACCUAAAAUACUGGGUUAAUGAAGGUGACCUAAACAAAGUGGGCCUAAAAGCAGCCACCUUUAAAAAAGCGUUAUAGCUUAACUUCUACUCACCCCAAAUUUAUUUAAUUCCUUUUAACCCUUCAUUUAUACUGAACUAUUUUAUAUUUUUAUAAAAAAUAUUAUGCUAGAACUAGUAACAAGAAUAUGAUAUUCUCCUAAAUGCAAACUUAAACCAAAACGGACUACCCAUUGGUAUUUAACGUAAAUGCCCCACUAUAACAACAAUUAUCAAGAAAACCCUAUAGCCCUAAACGUUAACCUGACACCAGAGCAUUAAAGGAAAGAUUAAAAGAGAAAGAAGGAACUCGGCAAAUUACAGCCCCGCCUGUUUACCAAAAACAUCGCCUCUUGACAAAACAUAAGAGGUCCAGCCUGCCCAGUGACUAAGUUUAACGGCCGCGGUACCCUAACCGUGCAAAGGUAGCAUAAUCACUUGUUCUCUAAAUAAGGACUAGUAUCAACGGCAUCACGAGGGCUGUACUGUCUCCUUUCUCCAAUCAGUGAAACUGAUCUCCCCGUGAAGAAGCGGGGAUAUAACUAUAAGACGAGAAGACCCCAUGAAGCUUUAAGCAAUAUAUUCACCUUGCACCAUUAUAUCACCAUAGUAUAAAGACCUGAAUAUUAGCUUUGGGUUGGGGGGACCGCGGAGUAUAACUUAACCUCCACAACAAACGGGCCACGCCCUUAUCUAAGAACCACAAUUCUAAGAAUCAUAAAACUGAUGUUUAUGACCCGAUAAUUCGAUCAAUGAACCAAGUUACUCUGGGGAUAACAGCGCAAUCUACUUCAAGAGCCCCUAUCGACAAGUAGGUUUACGACCUCGAUGUUGGAUCAGGGUAUCCUAGUGGUGCA